GAGAUUCCCCCAGUAGCGGCGAGCGAACGGGGAGGAGCCCAGAGCCUGAAUCAGUGUGUGUGUUAGUGGAAGCGUCUGGAAAGGCGCGCGAUACAGGGUGACAGCCCCGUACACAAAAAUGCACAUAUUGUGAGCUCGAUGAGUAGGGCGGGACACGUGGUAUCCUGUCUGAAUAUGGGGGGACCAUCCUCCAAGGCUAAAUACUCCUGACUGACCGAUAGUGAACCAGUACCGUGAGGGAAAGGCGAAAAGAACCCCGGCGAGGGGAGUGAAAAAGAACCUGAAACCGUGUACGUACAAGCAGUGGGAGCCUCUUUAUGGGGUGACUGCGUACCUUUUGUAUAAUGGGUCAGCGACUUAUAUUCUGUAGCAAGGUUAACCGAAUAGGGGAGCCGAAGGGAAACCGAGUCUUAACUGGGCGUUAAGUUGCAGGGUAUAGACCCGAAACCCGGUGAUCUAGCCAUGGGCAGGUUGAAGGUUGGGUAACACUAACUGGAGGACCGAACCGACUAAUGUUGAAAAAUUAGCGGAUGACUUGUGGCUGGGGGUGAAAGGCCAAUCAAACCGGGAGAUAGCUGGUUCUCCCCGAAAGCUAUUUAGGUAGCGCCUCGUGAAUUCAUCUCCGGGGGUAGAGCACUGUUUCGGCAAGGGGGUCAUCCCGACUUACCAACCCGAUGCAAACUGCGAAUACCGGAGAAUGUUAUCACGGGAGACACACGGCGGGUGCUAACGUCCGUCGUGAAGAGGGAAACAACCCAGACCGCCAGCUAAGGUCCCAAAGUCAUGGUUAAGUGGGAAACGAUGUGGGAAGGCCCAGACAGCCAGGAUGUUGGCUUAGAAGCAGCCAUCAUUUAAAGAAAGCGUAAUAGCUCACUGGUCGAGUCGGCCUGCGCGGAAGAUGUAACGGGGCUAAACCAUGCACCGAAGCUGCGGCAGCGACACUAUGUGUUGUUGGGUAGGGGAGCGUUCUGUAAGCCUGUGAAGGUGGCCUGUGAGGGUUGCUGGAGGUAUCAGAAGUGCGAAUGCUGACAUAAGUAACGAUAAAGCGGGUGAAAAGCCCGCUCGCCGGAAGACCAAGGGUUCCUGUCCAACGUUAAUCGGGGCAGGGUGAGUCGACCCCUAAGGCGAGGCCGAAAGGCGUAGUCGAUGGGAAACAGGUUAAUAUUCCUGUACUUGGUGUUACUGCGAAGGGGGGACGGAGAAGGCUAUGUUGGCCGGGCGACGGUUGUCCCGGUUUAAGCGUGUAGGCUGGUUUUCCAGGCAAAUCCGGAAAACCAAGGCUGAGGCGUGAUGACGAGGCACUACGGUGCUGAAGCGACAAAUGCCCUGCUUCCAGGAAAAGCCUCUAAGCAUCAGGUAACAUCAAAUCGUACCCCAAACCGACACAGGUGGUCAGGUAGAGAAUACCAAGGCGCUUGAGAGAACUCGGGUGAAGGAACUAGGCAAAAUGGUGCCGUAACUUCGGGAGAAGGCACGCUGAUAUGUAGGUGAAGCGACUUGCUCGUGGAGCUGAAAUCAGUCGAAGAUACCAGCUGGCUGCAACUGUUUAUUAAAAACACAGCACUGUGCAAACACGAAAGUGGACGUAUACGGUGUGACGCCUGCCCGGUGCCGGAAGGUUAAUUGAUGGGGUUAGCGGUAACGCGAAGCUCUUGAUCGAAGCCCCGGUAAACGGCGGCCGUAACUAUAACGGUCCUAAGGUAGCGAAAUUCCUUGUCGGGUAAGUUCCGACCUGCACGAAUGGCGUAAUGAUGGCCAGGCUGUCUCCACCCGAGACUCAGUGAAAUUGAACUCGCUGUGAAGAUGCAGUGUACCCGCGGCAAGACGGAAAGACCCCGUGAACCUUUACUAUAGCUUGACACUGAACAUUGAGCCUUGAUGUGUAGGAUAGGUGGGAGGCUUUGAAGUGUGGACGCCAGUCUGCAUGGAGCCGACCUUGAAAUACCACCCUUUAAUGUUUGAUGUUCUAACGUUGGCCCGUAAUCCGGGUUGCGGACAGUGUCUGGUGGGUAGUUUGACUGGGGCGGUCUCCUCCUAAAGAGUAACGGAGGAGCACGAAGGUUGGCUAAUCCUGGUCGGACAUCAGGAGGUUAGUGCAAUGGCAUAAGCCAGCUUGACUGCGAGCGUGACGGCGCGAGCAGGUGCGAAAGCAGGUCAUAGUGAUCCGGUGGUUCUGAAUGGAAGGGCCAUCGCUCAACGGAUAAAAGGUACUCCGGGGAUAACAGGCUGAUACCGCCCAAGAGUUCAUAUCGACGGCGGUGUUUGGCACCUCGAUGUCGGCUCAUCACAUCCUGGGGCUGAAGUAGGUCCCAAGGGUAUGGCUGUUCGCCAUUUAAAGUGGUACGCGAGCUGGGUUUAGAACGUCGUGAGACAGUUCGGUCCCUAUCUGCCGUGGGCGCUGGAGAACUGAGGGGGGCUGCUCCUAGUACGAGAGGACCGGAGUGGACGCAUCACUGGUGUUCGGGUUGUCAUGCCAAUGGCACUGCCCGGUAGCUAAAUGCGGAAGAGAUAAGUGCUGAAAGCAUCUAAGCACGAAACUUGCCCCGAGAUGAGUUCUCCCUGACUCCUUGAGAGUCCUGAAGGAACGUUGAAGACGACGACGUUGAUAGGCCGGGUGUGUAAGCGCAGCGAUGCGUUGAGCUAACCGGUACUAAUGAACCGUGAGGCUUAACCUUACAACGCCGAAG
rnacentral:rRNA from 1 species